rnacentral:lncRNA from 1 species
UGAAAUAUGAAGUUUUAUUAAAAGAAAAAGGGGUGAAAAGAACAAAGUUUUGCCAUCUUUGUUCAUCAUAGCUGAAAGUUAGAGAAGAGAAAGGAGAGGAGAAAGCUCUUGAGUAUCCGGUCAUUAGGAGGAGGAAAAUUGAAGGUAAGUUCUUGGUAACUUGCUUCUAUUUUGAGGUUCAUGAGUUCUUCUUGAUUCUACCUUAACUCUUGAAGCAUAUUUUGGUUUUUGGUUGUAUUGUGAGCAUUUGGUCAUGAAUUAAAAUGAAGGAAAUGGUUGUUGUUUCAUGUUCUUUUGAUGAAAAAUAGAAGAUAGGUGAAGUUGAGCCAAACAAAUGAACAUGCAUGUGCCUUAGAUGCUAAAAGGAAAAAUCGGCUAACAUGUUGUGCUUUAAAAUGAUGAAAUGGAGAUUAUACUUAAGUAAAAUCAUAGAUAUGUGAUGAUUUAUUGGUGAUAUACAUGUUUAAAUAACAUGCAUGCAAGUUAUGUGUGAAAGAGCGAAUUUGGUAAUAAAUCUGCUUGGGACAGCAGCAGUAAUGUGACUUUGGAAAAUCACCAUAAAUUGUGGGAGAUGAAUUAGAAGCUGAAUAAAUUAUGUAAUUAAAUCUUGUUGAGUCUAGUUUCAAAUGAAAUAAACGAGAACAUAUUUUGAAUUCUGUACAAUGAGAAAUUUGAUUCGUAAUGAAGAGUGGUCAGAUUAGUCAAACAGUGAAACAUGCGAAACUUUGAGAAAAAUCUGGUAUUUAUUGGCCAAACCAAAAAUUCUGAAAAUUUUAUGGAUAGAAGAUAUAUGAGUCUAUUUUCAAGGAAAAUUAACGGAACUUGAUUUGGAGUUUCGUAGCUCCAAUUAUAAAUGAUUUAGUGACUGUUGCUCAGGAAGACAGCUUGCAGUGAAAUUAUGAUUAUGUGGUAAACAUUGACAAAAAUUUGUUAAUGAGUUGCUUAUUGAUUUCUUAUAAGCUUACUAUGAUCUGUAGGUGUGGUUGGCCGAAUAUUGUAAGGGGUUAAUACGUAAUUUGUAUUUGAAUAGUUAGAUUAACGUGUUAGUAAUCCAAUUGUAGGCGGUUCGUGUGUGGAUCUCGUCAGCAUAUCGUCGCAAACAGGUGUGUAACUAACACCCUCUUUCUUAGUCUAGAUCGGCAAAAGCUGAAAAGCUGAAAUGCCGAAAACCGGUAUUUUGUAGAUUUGCGAGUGUGAGAAUGCUCGUGAGGUAAAUCGAUUAAUGUUUUUGGUAAGCUGCAAUGUUUGGACUGCAAAGUGCAUGAUUUCUGUGCCCUCGAUAUUUUUGGGCUUAAUGGGCCAAAAUUGGAAUGAUGAGCCAACGGGCCCAAUUUGGUAAGAACCCUCGGUACGUGAUUCCGUUAGUACGUGAAAGGUAGGAAUAUGCAUGAAAAACCCUAAAAUAGAUAAAUUACUGAAAUACCUUUAAAAGUAGAAAAUUACUGUUAUACCCCUAGAUGUAAAAUUAUCGAAAUACCCCUAGGGUUAAAUUGACCUAAAUGCAUGUUUGACUGUUGUUAUUUACUGCAUGCCAUGUUGUUAUUAUCUGAUGCAUGGGAUUGGGAUAUUGACGGAGGAAGUACUGAAAGUGGCUUGUCCACGUACUGGAGGCUUUGCCUCAAUUUACUGUUAACUGAGCAGCAAGGCUGCAACUGUGGAGUGUUGGGCUGGGUGGGUUGAGCUAUUCCCCACAUGGAGUGUAUGGCUGGUACGGGUGGAGUGUAGUGGUUGGUGGGUUGAGUAGUCUCCCCAAAUGGGCUUGCAUAUGUUUAUUGAUGUUGCAUGUAUUUUGAAAUGGGCCUAUGGGCCAUACUGUUAUCUGAAUAAGGGGCUAAGGCCCAGUUUAUUGUAAUCUAAAAAGGGCUCUGGUCCAGUACCACUGUUACCUGAAUGGGCUUAGGCCCAAUAGGCUUGAGCUGACUUGGACUUUGAAUGGGUUUUCCUUACACACUGAGUUUCCCCAAACUCACCCCUUUUAUUUUCAUCCACGCAGGAAAUCCCCAACCAUAGUGGGCUUGGAGCUGUGAGAGAAUUCGGAGUGGCCACCCGUUCUGAAAGUUUGAUUUUCUUCUGGUGAACUGGACAUCCUUUUAUUUACAUUUGAAGUUUUGGGUUUUUAAAUGUAAUAAGGCCGCUUAAUUAUUUUUUAUGGUUUUAAUAUGUAUUACUAAGAUAUGUAAUACUUAUUUUAACUGUUGAAAUUGGAUAGCUUUAGGGCGCGUUUUCAAAAACAACAGUUGAUUUCAAAAUAACACGACAACAAGCAAAGCUUCCGCAAUGAAAGUAUUUUCCAAAAUUAAUCACUUUUCCUAAAAAUGACUUAAUCAAAUCGGUUUCCUAGAAAUAUCCAUGACGUUAAGGUGUGGCAAUGGCGGUAUGCAUGUCUAGGAUUGGAUCUGAAGGGAGCUUGGUACUUAAGCAGUCCGAUGGACUCACCACCUCUUUUCCAGUUUCCUACCUGGUGCAUAGCUUCCAUUCACUUUAAUCCUUAAUGAAUUAAUCUUUUGAACAUCAAGUACGAUUUUCUGGACUUAGAAUGGAAAUUUUUUUUUAACAUUUUUGAUGUGGCAUGCCGGAUCCGGCCAUAACUUCUGGGCCGGGUUUGGGGUGCUACAGUGGUAAUGUCUGCUUUAUCUCUAUUGAAGCUCCGAAUCUUGAAAGGGGUCGAGCUAACUAGAAUUGAAGCUUGGAUUUGCUUGGUUGAUCACUUGUUUGUGGUAGAAUAAAUUGACCCUCAUUUAUGUUUCUAAGGGCGAUUAGGGCUUAGACCCUCAUUUAUGUUUAAUUAGUAGCUUAAUUAAUGAUUUCAAUUGAUUAAUUAUGGUUGAAUGGCUAAUUUUUUUUGCAAGAUUGAUAUUAUAUGUACAAGAGUUGAAUUUUUAUUGAAUAAUGGUAAGUAAGCAUUUAGGUGAUUUUGUGCAAUUUAAUUAGGCUAAUUAUAUGGUGAUUAGAGCAUGGUUACUGGAGUUUUUUUUAUCAUGAUAUAUUGGCGUUACAAUUGGUAAUUGAACAUUGGAGAAUGGAAAAUGAAAUGCUUGAUUUAAUUGGAUGUUAAAUGGCUAUGUUACAUGUUACACAUAAGCAUUUUAUCACAUUAAAUUAAGCACAAUAAUGACUGAUUUAUAUGUUAUGUUUGACUGAAUAUAUUGGCAACAUGCAUGGUGGAUCCAUUGGAUAUAGUUGGCAUGCCAUAGGAUUUGUGAGUACUCACCUUUAUUUGUGACAUUGUGAACAUACAGCUUUACGUGGACUGAUUUGUUUGGAGUAGAUAAAGGUGUGUUGAGCAUGAGUCUCCACUCAUUGGGUUAUUUGAGGCGCUAUAAGGGAGCGUGUGCUUUGGCCCUCUCAACUCGAUGGACUGUAUUUGGUAUUUGUGGGAAUUUAGAGAUUCGUUUAUUCGAUGUAUGAUCACCUGAUUAAGCCAUGAGAAGUGUAUGCCAAUAUAUUUAUGUGUGAUUAUUGUUAUAUCAUUCAAUGUUUGUAAGCCAUGAAUAAUUGAUUCUUGAUAUUGAUAAAGCAUAUGGAAAUUAAAUUGACAUGUUUCAUUAUUAUGGUUGAUAUUUGGUGAUUGAUUGGAUGUAAUUUAAACAUGAUUUGGAUGUUGAUUUCCUAGUCAUUUUUAUUAACAUUCACUGAGCUUUUUAAAGCUUACACCCUCACAAUUCAUGUAGAAAAUCAUCAGGCUUGAAGAGCUGAGAAGCUGAGCAAGAGAGUUCCAAAAGAUUUAGGCUUGGUAGAGACUUUAUUACACGUUUUAAAAACUGUAAUCGGC